AAAAACGUAUCAGGUACCAGGUACUGUACACAGUGGAAAACCCCCCAAAAGCGAGCCAUGCCAUGCCGUACCAUGCAGGGGAAAAGCG